AAAUGAUUGCUUUUCUUCUUUCUUCUUUUCUCUUCUUUCUUUCUUUUUUUUUAAACAAACAAACAAACAAACAAAAAAACAAAAAAAAAAACAAAAAAACAAAACAACAAAAAAAAAAACCUCUUAAUGGCUAGAAUUUCUGGUCUUGAAUUUUAUUGUUAGAAAUCAGGAUUUAAGCUGGGCAUAGUGGUGCACGCCUUUAAUCCCAGCACUCGGGAGGCAGAGGCAGGCGGAUUUCUGAGUUCGAGGCCAGCCUGGUCUACAAAGUGAGUUCCAGGACAGCCAGGGCUACAUAGAGAAACCCUGUCUCGAAAAAAAAAAAAACAAGAAAGAAAGAAAGAAAGAAAUCAGGAUUUAGCUCUCAAAUCAAACUCAGUCAUCAAAAAGAACUGUGGAGAAUUGCCCUGGCCUUACACAUACAAAGAAGCAGCACGUUCAUAUUCUCUUGAGAAGAAGUUGGGGGGAGGGGGGAAUUAAUUUGUUUCUAUGGGGAAAGAAAAAAAGUUUGGAGAUGUCUUUUUUUUUUUUUUUUCCAAAUCAAGAUUUGGUGUUUAAUCCUGUGUAUUUAUUUAGAUAUAUAUAUAUUUUUUUUAAAAAGCAAUAAGGCAAGUUGACAGAAGAUGAAUGUUAGAGUCAGGCAGAUGGCCAAGUUCGGUGCCAGCCUGGUCUAUCUAGCAGGUUCCAAGCCAGUCAAGGCAAUAUAGAAAGACUCUGUCUCACAAAACAAAACAAAACAAAACAAAACAAAAAAAAACAAACAACCCAAUAAAUAGUCUUUAUUGUUGGUAAGGGUUGGGGCAUGCACUGUUUGGGGAGAAUCAAUCAGGGCACGGUGACUCCAUUUUCUCUGGGUGGAAUGAGAAAGCCACUACAUAAGGCCACUUUCUCUGCAAGCUAAGGCUUAGUGGCAGAGAGCCCAAGCCUUGGGGUCAGCAGGGGGUCAACUCCGCCUCAUGACCUGGUAGCCUUUGAACUUCUAGGAGCUUUCUUUGUUUUGUUUUGUAAUUUAAUUUAAUUUUAUUUUAUAAAAUGUUCCACAAGGAGGGAGUCUGUGUUUGAAUGUAUCUCACACAAGAACCAGGAUCCUAAAAUGGGAGAAUAG
rnacentral:lncRNA from 1 species